rnacentral:rRNA from 1 species
UACAGAGGGUGCGAGCGUUGUUCGGAAUUAUUGGGCGUAAAGGGCGCGUAGGCGGUGCGGUAAGUCACCUGUGAAAUCUCCUGGCUCAACUGGGAGCUUGCAGGCGAAACUGCCGUGCUGGAGUGUGGGAGAGGUGAGUGGAAUUCCCGGUGUAGUGGUGAAAUGCGUAGAUAUCGGGAGGAACACCAGUGGCGAAGGCGACUUUCUGGCCUGUUCUUGACGCUGAGGCGCGAAAGCUAAGGGGAGCAAACGGGG